AAGCACAAUUAAGUGUCUUGGCUGUGGCCUUUCAAGUCUCAAUCUUGUGCAAGAUCAAGUUCCAGUUUACAGAAGAGCUGAGCUUUUAGUUGUGGUUUGUCCCUUUUGAACGCCGGUGAUAAUU